rnacentral:snRNA from 1 species
GUGCUCACUUUGGCAGCACAUAUACGAAAAUUGGAACAAUACAGAGAAGGUUAGCAUGGCCCCUGUGCAAGCAUGACAUGCAAAGUCGUGAAGCAUUCCAUAUUUUU